rnacentral:rRNA from 1 species
GAUGAACGCUGGCGGCGUGCCUAAUACAUGCUAGUCGAGCGAACGGACGAGAAGCUUGCUUCUCUGAUGUUAACGGCGGACGGGUGAGUAACACGUGGAUAACCUACCUAUAAGACUGGGAUAACUUCGGGAAACCGGAGCUAAUACCGGAUAAUAUUUUGAACCGCAUGGUUCAAAAGUAAAAGACGGUCUUGCUGUCACUUAUAGAUGGAUCCGCGCUGCAUUAGCUAGUUGGUAAGGUAACGGCUUACCAAGGCAACGAUGCAUAGCCGACCUGAGAGGGUGAUCGGCCACACUGGAACUGAGACACGGUCCAGACUCCUACGGGAGGCAGCAGUAGGGAAUCUUCCGCAAUGGGCGAAAGCCUGACGGAGCAACGCCGCGUGAGUGAUGAAGGUCUUCGGAUCGUAAAACUCUGUUAUUAGGGAAGAACAUAUGUGUAAGUAACUGUGCACAUCUUGACGGUACCUAAUCAGAAAGCCACGGCUAACUACGUG